rnacentral:rRNA from 1 species
GCGUUAAGUUGCAGGGUAUAGACCCGAAACCCGGUGAUCUAGCCAUGGGCAGGUUGAAGGUUGGGUAACACUAACUGGAGGACCGAACCGACUAAUGUUGAAAAAUUAGCGGAUGACCUGUGGCUGGGGGUGAAAGGCCAAUCAAACCGGGAGAUAGCUGGUUCUCCCCGAAAGCUAUUUAGGUAGCGCCUCGUGAAUUCAUCUCCGGGGGUAGAGCACUGUUUCGGCUAGGGGGCCAUCCCGGCUUACCAACCCGAUGCAAACUGCGAAUACCGGAGAAUGUUAUCACGGGAGACACACGGCGGGUGCUAACGUCCGUCGUGAAGAGGGAAACAACCCAGACCGCCAGCUAAGGUCCCAAAGUCAUGGUUAAGUGGGAAACGAUGUGGGAAGGCCCAGACAGCCAGGAUGUUGGCUUAGAAGCAGCCAUCAUUUAAAGAAAGCGUAAUAGCUCACUGGUCGAGUCGGCCUGCGCGGAAGAUGUAACGGGGCUAAACCAUGCACCGAAGCUGCGGCAGCGACGCUGAUGCGUUGUUGGGUAGGGGAGCGUUCUGUAAGCCUGCGAAGGUGGCCUGUGAGGGUUGCUGGAGGUAUCAGAAGUGCGAAUGCUGACAUAAGUAACGAUAAAGCGGGUGAAAAGCCCGCUCGCCGGAAGACCAAGGGUUCCUGUCCAACGUUAAUCGGGGCAGGGUGAGUCGACCCCUAAGGCGAGGCCGAAAGGCGUAGUCGAUGGGAAACGGGUUAAUAUUCCCGUACUUGGUGUUACUGCGAAGGGGGGACGGAGAAGGCUAUGUUGGCCGGGCGACGGUUGUCCCGGUUUAAGCGUGUAGGUGUGUGUUCCAGGUAAAUCCGGUUCACUUUAACACUGAGGCGUGAUGACGAGGCACUACGGUGCUGAAGCAACAAAUGCCCUGCUUCCAGGAAAAGCCUCUAAGCAUCAGGUAACAUCAAAUCGUACCCCAAACCGACACAGGUGGUCAGGUAGAGAAUACCAAGGCGCUUGAGAGAACUCGGGUGAAGGAACUAGGCAAAAUGGUGCCGUAACUUCGGGAGAAGGCACGCUGACACGUAGGUGAAGUGAUUUACUCAUGGAGCUGAAGUCAGUCGAAGAUACCAGCUGGCUGCAACUGUUUAUUAAAAACACAGCACUGUGCAAACACGAAAGUGGACGUAUACGGUGUGACGCCUGCCCGGUGCCGGAAGGUUAAUUGAUGGGGUCAGCGCAAGCGAAGCUCCUGAUCGAAGCCCCGGUAAACGGCGGCCGUAACUAUAACGGUCCUAAGGUAGCGAAAUUCCUUGUCGGGUAAGUUCCGACCUGCACGAAUGGCGUAAUGAUGGCCAGGCUGUCUCCACCCGAGACUCAGUGAAAUUGAACUCGCUGUGAAGAUGCAGUGUACCCGCGGCAAGACGGAAAGACCCCGUGAACCUUUACUAUAGCUUGACACUGAACAUUGAGCCUUGAUGUGUAGGAUAGGUGGGAGGCUUUGAAGUGUGGACGCCAGUCUGCAUGGAGCCGACCUUGAAAUACCACCCUUUAAUGUUUGAUGUUCUAACGUGGACCCGUUACCCGGGUUGCGGACAGUGUCUGGUGGGUAGUUUGACUGGGGCGGUCUCCUCCUAAAGAGUAACGGAGGAGCACGAAGGUUGGCUAAUCCUGGUCGGACAUCAGGAGGUUAGUGCAAUGGCAUAAGCCAGCUUGACUGCGAGCGUGACGGCGCGAGCAGGUGCGAAAGCAGGUCAUAGUGAUCCGGUGGUUCUGAAUGGAAGGGCCAUCGCUCAACGGAUAAAAGGUACUCCGGGGAUAACAGGCUGAUACCGCCCAAGAGUUCAUAUCGACGGCGGUGUUUGGCACCUCGAUGUCGGCUCAUCACAUCCUGGGGCUGAAGUAGGUCCCAAGGGUAUGGCUGUUCGCCAUUUAAAGUGGUACGCGAGCUGGGUUUAGAACGUCGUGAGACAGUUCGGUCCCUAUCUGCCGUGGGCGCUGGAGAACUGAGGGGGGCUGCUCCUAGUACGAGAGGACCGGAGUGGACGCAUCACUGGUGUUCGGGUUGUCAUGCCAAUGGCACUGCCCGGUAGCUAAAUGCGGAAGAGAUAAGUGCUGAAAGCAUCUAAGCACGAAACUUGCCCCGAGAUGAGUUCU